rnacentral:rRNA from 1 species
AUGCCGUUCAGAAUUGGGAGCCACAUACAAAGAAGUGCACAAUUGAUGUGUAUUCGAGUCAUAGAAGUGGUUGGUAACCAACGACAUGCUCGUAUUGAUUAAGUUAUUGUUGUUGUAAUCAAAGAAGCAUUGCUCCAAAUGCUUUUAGAAAGAUUCGAAGUAAUUCAAGCUGUAAUUGUCCAUACAUGUAUAAUAAUCCGCUAUGAUGAGCAAACUUUCCCCUCCAGACAUCACUGA